rnacentral:lncRNA from 1 species
AGGAGUCAUCAAGAGCUGCCAAGCACAGUGGUGCCGGUUGUAAACUGCACAAUUCCCGGGAGUGCCAUUGACCUGGGUGGCUACAACUGCCAGCAACCCUGUAGCCACUCUGUUGGCCUCAGUGGUCUCAGCAGUAAAAUGGCACAGGAGACCCCGUCCUGAGAAGGACACACGGUCGUCAGAAGGAAUCUGGACUCCAUCUGGAACAGAGCGAGGACCCCUCUACAGAGCCGGGACCUUCUCCGGAAAGGAGCUGGGCCUGCAUGGCCGUGCACAGAUGCCGGGAGUGCGGUGCUCUGUCCACCCAGGACUCCGCUUGCAGGGCCUCACGCUGCAUGGCUGACCCAACCCAGGACUGCGCUUGCGGGGCCUCACACUGCCUGGCCCACCCAAUUUCAAACAGUUCUCACGCUAGAAGAUGCACAAAGCCAGCUUUACAUUUUGGGGAAUGAUUCAGAAGGGCCAGGGACCUGCCGAGACACCUGGGGCUUCUUUGUGGGGCCCCAUCAAUGGGAGGCGGGGACCCUUGGGUCAGCCCAGACCCUGCUGGGCCUCAGUUUCUCAUGCCCAGCUCCAGCCGGGAGCCUGGGCAGGUCCAGAAUCACCGCACACGCAGAAGGGCCUCACUAGGACGGGGUGAGAGGUGAGAACAUGGAGCUGACUGAGGGAACAGUGUGGACGCAGCAGAGUCGCCUGAGAACCCAGCUCCAUGGCCCCCACGCCAGCCACCAAACCCCUCUGUGACCUGAGAAACAGAAACCAGACUCAGCCCGGCAGGUGUCAGACCCUGGUCUGGUUGGUCCGCAGCGGCUCCUGGCUCAGCGCAGGGACUGCCAGGGUCCAGGGGCCCUCAGGGGACUUGUUGAAGCCCAGCUCCUGCCAGGGAGGACAAGAACUCUCUUCUUCCAGGAGUAAACAGAAACGAGGGCCUGGCCCUGGGGUCCUAGGUGCCUCUGACCCCACCAGGAACCUCUGAGUCUCCCGAAGCACCUGCUGGCAGGGUGGGUGCAGCUCAGCAUGUGGGAGGACAUCGGGUCGCCAUUUCCCGAUAGAGCCAACAGCCUCUCCUCAAUGUGCUGUGCGGCCAGCCUGCCCCAGCUGGCUCUGGACUGAGGAGGUGGGCGCAGGGACUACAGAAGGGUCCAUGCUGGUGGGGGGCCCACUGCUGGGCCUAGGCAGGAGAAGGCUCCAGGCCAGAGGCCGCUAGCAGGGCAGACCCCAGCCUAGCCACGCGGGCUGGGAGGAAAGGGGAGGAUGCGGCGUCUGCUGUGACAGGCUUUGGGUCAAGGGUCUGCUCUGAGCCCCGAGCUCACCGCCACAGGGGCUUUCCCAGGCUGGCUUGGCAGCGGGCGGGGGCUCAGGGGAGCUCAGGAAGCGGGUGGUUCCCACAGCAGCGGCUCAGGCAGGCGGCCCACACACCCAGCCAGCGGGCUCCCGUGGGAAGGAGACCUGGAGGCCGGGGCUCUCCUCCCGUCUGCUCUAACCUCCUGGACAACCUUCAAUGCUGUCCUUCCCUCUCAGGCCUCAGUUUCCCAGUGAUCUUGAGGGGUGGUCGCUGGAGGUCAAAAGGGGAAGAUGACUGUUCAGUUGCCUUGUAAGCAGUGAACGCUUGCAGAAUCACAGCAGCUCCUGGCGUGGCUGGAUCCAGGGCUCCGGCAAUGCUGCCUGGACUUUGUGUCUGUCCCUCUUUGGGCUCCCUGACCCUGAUGUGGGCUCCCUCCCUGGUAAUCCCUUCCCACGGUGUGGCAAAGAUGGCUCAUGUCCCCCAGGUCGGCAACUCCCCUGGAAGAUAGGGUCUGCACAGGUCCUAGGCCCCCCUGUUCCAGGCAGCCUGGGCCCAGAAGUCCAAACACGUGGGCAGAUGGUUAGGGGAACAGUGGGUCCCCAAACCACAGCUGUCCACUGAAAGUGCUGACCACAAGCCAGGCCCAGGGCCAAGCACCAAGUGCCCACUGAGCCCACCUCAUCCCCUCACAGGUGCCAAAAGUGAGUCCAUUCCACAGAAGGGCACCCAAGGUGCAGAGCGGAAGUGUCACCUGCCUGAGGUCACCCAGCUUCAGGCAGAGACCAGGUGGAUAUGAGGAUCAAGGAUCCCGGUUCCACGGGCUGAAUUUCAACUCCUGAGCUCUCCUCGGGCUUCCCCAGUGAUUCUGGAGCCCUGCAGGGCAGGAAGCGAGUCCUAAUGCCCAUCCCAGACCUGCCGCCUCAGUGUCCCUUCCUGCCUUGGGGGGAAAGCUGGGGUGAGGAGGAUGCAACAGGGGCAACCGUUGGACCCCAGGGAGAGCCCAAGUCCUGGGCAUAAAGCACAGCACAUUCAUUCCGGAGCUGGGCCUCACCUGGGGCAAAUCAUAUUUUCACUCUAAAACAAAUGCAAACUCAAUGAUUAAGAUGAGCUACACACACUGGCUCUAAGGUGAACAAUUCAGGAGGGUUUGGUCGCACGCGGCCAGCGUGGGCCCUCAGUAGCGCCUCUGGGUGGAGCUCUCUCGGGAGUCUUCCCUCUCGGCUGUGGGACUCGAGGCGGCCAGGAGAAGCCAGAACUGAGGGCAUGCGGUCCACGCAGGAGCACGGGAGCCACGGGCCACGGGGUCCCCUCCUCACAGGAGCCACUGGUCGCGGGCAAGCACUGGGUGGUGGUGGAGUCCCAGAUGAGCUCCAGCACUGUCCAGAGAAAACAAGGCUACCGUCCAGCACACGUCCUCACUCACCCCGGCCACGGUGAUCUGACCACGGCCACGACCAGGCCACGGGGCCUCCCCACCACUGGGUCAAAGGCUGUUCUCAAGAGACUCAGUGACUUUUGGAGCACAGAGCAUCUUGGGUUAGUCUCCUGUCCACUUGGUUCCAUCAGCUGAGUUGUGCAGGGGUUCCUGGCCCACCUGGAACGCAGGGCCUUCCUGAGAUGCCAAGUACCCUGGGCUACAAGGGAGAGUUCCCGUGGCUGGAGGGCAUGGCCACCGGGAGGACGCCACAGAGAAAGUCCCAGGACCGAUGCUCUGAAAGCUGACCCAGUGCUGCCUCGGAGGGCCCCGGCUUGACUCACCACCCAUCCCCGCACUAAGUCUAUGCUGACCCUGGCAUGCUGCACCCACCCAACCCUUGUCCUCUGCAGGUCCCAGUCUGGUGGGGCAAUGGGCACCGAGUGAAGUUUUAAGAAAAUGACUGUGGUUUCCAACCAUAAUGACGAGCCCAGCAGUCUGGGUUGUGGGGCUUGUGGAAGGCUCCAUCAGAGGGUCCUGUGAGCUGAGGAAAGGGAUCGAGCUGGACCCCAGGACACACUUCUACCCCUAACUCUGCUCCUAGGGGCUCUAAAAAGUAAAGGAGUGUAUUAGGCCAUUCUCACACUGCUAUAAAGAGCUACCUAAGGGCGGGCGCAGCAGCUCAAGCCUGUAAUCCCAGCACUUUGGGAGGCCAAGGCAGGCAGAUCACGAGGUCAGGAGCUCGAGACCAGCCCGACCAACAUGGUGAAACCCUGUCUCUACUAAAAAUACAAAAAUUAGCUGGGCAUGGUGGCAAGCACCUAUAAUCCCAGCUACUCAGGAGGCUGAGGCGGGAGAAUCGCUUGAACUUGGGAGGUGGAGUUUGCAGUGAGCCGAGAUCAAGCUGCUACACUCCAGCCUGGACGACAGAGCAAGACUCUGUCUCAAAAAAUAAAAACUACCUGAGACUAGGUAAUUUAUGAAAAAAGAAGUUUAAUUGACACAGUUCUGCAGGCUGUUCAGGAGGCAUGGCUGAGGAGGCCUCAGGAAACUUACAAUCAUGGUGGAAGGCAAAGAGGAAGCAGGCACCAUUUUCAUAUGGCCAGAGCAGGAGAGAGUGCGAAGGGGGAAGUCCAUCCCGUGCUUCAAUCAUGGCCCACCAGGCCACGCCUUCAACAUGUGGGGAUUACAAUUUGACAUGAAAUUUGGGUGGGGACAUAGAACCAAACCAUAUCAUUCCAGCCCUGGCCCCUCCCAAAUCUCAUGUCCUUCUCACAUUUCAAAACACAAUCAUGCCUUCUCAACAGACCCCCAAAUCUUAACCCAUUUCAGCAUUAACUCAAAAGUCCAAAGUCUCAUCUGAGACAAGACAAGUCCCUUCUGCCUAUGAGCCUGUAAAAUCAAAAACAAGUUACUUACUUCCAAGAUACAAUGUGGGUACAGGCACUGGGUAAAUGCUCCCAUUUCAAAAGGGAGAAAUUGGCCAAAACAAAGGGCCUACAGGCCCCAUGCAUGUCCUGAACCCAGUAGGGUAGUCAUUAAACGGUUUUUUGUUUUUUUUUUGAGAUGAAGUCUUGCUCUUGUCCCCCAGGCUGGAGUGCAAUGGCACGACCUCGGCUCA